rnacentral:lncRNA from 1 species
CGUAAUCACCGGAUACUCAACGAGCCUCUCCACUGUGCCAUUAGAAUUGAACAAAUCAUGAACAGGAACAGAUACCUCACCAAUAUCUUUAUCACCUAAAGUACGGUCAGAUUUGAGACGAAAAACGAGAGAUCACUUUGAUGUCUAAUGGACGCAACUCCAUUGUUGAUAUUGGAUUGUUGAAGAAAACAGGUAAAAUAUUUGUUAAAAUGAAAAAUAGUUUGUUGAAACUAACUCCGAUAAAUUCUGUUUAUGGGGGG